rnacentral:rRNA from 1 species
UACAGAGGGUGCGAGCGUUAAUCGGAAUUACUGGGCGUAAAGCGUGCGCAGGCGGUUUGUUAAGCCAGAUGUGAAAGCCCCGGGCUCAACCUGGGAACUGCGUUUGGUACUGGCAAGCUAGAGUACGGCAGAGGGGGGUGGAAUUCCACGUGUAGCAGUGAAAUGCGUAGAGAUGUGGAGGAACACCGAUGGCGAAGGCAGCCCCCUGGGCCGAUACUGACGCUCAGGCACGAAAGCGUGGGGAGCAAACAGG